rnacentral:rRNA from 1 species
UUGGAGGGCAAGUCUGGUGCCAGCAGCCGCGGUAAUUCCAGCUCCAAUAGCGUAUAUUAAAGUUGUUGCAGUUAAAAAGCUCGUAGUUGAACUUCGGAAUUCGUCCAUUGGUCAGGCUUAAUUGUCUGUACUGGUGAGACGAGUUUCUACCUUCUGAAGAACCUUCAUGCUAUUUAGUUAGUGUGUUGGGGAAUCAGGACUGUUACUUUGAAAAAAUUAGAGUGUUUAAAGCAGGCUUAUGUCUGAAUACAUUAGCAUGGAAUAAUGAAAUAGGACGGUACGGUUCUAUUUUGUUGGUUUCUAGGAUCGCCGUAAUGAUUAAUAGGGAUAGUUGGGGGCAUUAGUAUUCAAUUGUCAGAGGUGAAAUUCUUGGAUUUAUUGAAGACUAACUACUGCGAAAGCAUUUGCCAAGGAUGUUUUCAUUAAUCAAGAACGAAAGUUAGGGGAUCGAAGACGAUCAGAUACCGUCGUAGUCUUAACCAUAAACUAUGCCGACUAGGGAUCGGACGAUGUUAAUUUUUUAAUGACUCGUUCGGCGCCUUACGGGAAAC